rnacentral:rRNA from 2 species
GCAUCAUGAUUUACAUUUGAGUGAGUGGCGAACUGGUGAGUAACACGUGGGAAACCUGCCCAGAAGCGGGGGAUAACACCUGGAAACAGAUGCUAAUACCGCAUAACAACUUGGACCGCAUGGUCCGAGCUUGAAAGAUGGCUUCGGCUAUCACUUUUGGAUGGUCCCGCGGCGUAUUAGCUAGAUGGUGGGGUAACGGCUCACCAUGGCAAUGAUACGUAGCCGACCUGAGAGGGUAAUCGGCCACAUUGGGACUGAGACACGGCCCAAACUCCUACGGGAGGCAGCAGUAGGGAAUCUUCCACAAUGGACGAAAGUCUGAUGGAGCAACGCCGCGUGAGUGAAGAAGGGUUUCGGCUCGUAAAACUCUGUUGUUAAAGAAGAACAUAUCUGAGAGUAACUGUUCAGGUAUUGACGGUAUUUAACCAGAAAGCCACGGCUAACUACGUGCCAGCAGCCGCGGUAAUACG